rnacentral:rRNA from 1 species
AGCUCCAAUAGCGUAUAUUAAAGUUGUUGCAGUUAAAAGCUCGUAGUCGGAUUUCGGGGCCUGCCGAGCGGUCUGCCGAUGGGUAUGCACUGUUCGGCGCGUCCUUCUUUCCGGAGACUAAUUCUACUCUUAACUGAGCGGAAUUGGGAGACGGAUCGUUUACUUUGAAAAAUCAGAGUGUUUCAAGCAGGCAGCUCGCUCUUGCAUGGAUUAGCAUGGGAUAAUGAAAUAGGACUCUGGUGCUAUUUUGUUGGUUUCGAACACCGGAGUAAUGAUUAACAGGGACAGUCAGGGGCACUCGUAUUCCGUCGAGAGAGGUGAAAUUCUCAGACCAAUGGAAGACGAACCACUGCGAAAGCAUUUGCCAGGGAUGUUUUCA